CUUAACUGAACCUUCGGGGAACGUUAAGGGCGGCGAGCGGCGGACGGGUGAGUAAUGCCUGGGAAUAUGCCCUGAUGUGGGGGAUAACUAUUGGAAACGAUAGCUAAUACCGCAUAAUCUCCGAUCUUUUACGAGAUGGGAGCAAAGAGGGGGACCUUCGGGCCUCUCGCGUCAGGAUUAGCCCAGGUGGGAUUAGCUUGUUGGUGAGGUAAUGGCUCACCAAGGCAACGAUCCCUAGCUGGUCUGAGAGGAUGAUCAG
rnacentral:rRNA from 1 species